GGUGUGGGGGGAAGCGGGGUGCAGGGAGGGCUCACACCGUCAGCCUUUCCAUUCCUCACUCUGCGCCUCCUGCCUGGCGGGGCCCGACCCUGUCAUCUGCACCCCGACAGAAGUCACUGAAACGUGGAAUUUGAGGUUAAUCUGCAGUGAAAUGGUGCAGGUCAGAGGCUGGGCCCGAGCCUCCCCUGCGCUGCAGCGGAGUUCAGCCUCGCUGACAGCAGCGUAACGCGUGAGCUCUGCCUCCAGCGAAGCCCGCAGGGACAGCCCUGAGCUAGCUCCAAGCUGCUGCACUCCAGCGCUGCUGCCAGCGUGGGAAGGAGCCUGGAGCAGCCUGGCUCCUGGAGCAUGAACUCCCCAGCAAGCCUGAGCUGCUGAGACUGGGUGGCCAGCAGCCCCAGAGCUGCUCCUUUCAGGGGUAACCCCUGCGCAGUGGGGGCCAGUCGAGGCAUACCCCUGCUCCGUGCGGUAGGAAUGGGGCUGCUCCCAGUCUGCUCGGCCCUUGGCGUGCAGAUCCUCUCUCCUUCUGCUGACCCACUGUGUUUUCCCUGCUGCACGUGUGUUCAGCUACAGGAUGCCCACGGAGGGAUGCUGAGAAGUUGAAGCAUUUGUUACUUUCCUGCAGCACAGUUAUCUGAGCAGGUUGCACCUGCUCUUAAGGAUACUACCCACAGAUAAACGCAGAGAGGGCACAAAGCCAGCACCACAAGUCCCGUUUCCAUAGGACAUUCCAGCAGAGCUCUGUUGCCACCCUGGCUCUACUCUUUUGACACUGCAACACCCAGCCCUGGGCAAGACUGAAGCUGUGAACCAAAAGCUGGCUAGCACAGAGCCCAAAACACACCAGGGCAUCCACAAUACAAUCUCAGAAGAGCCUGUGCCAUCUUAUAAAUUGUCUGUGGAGUGGGACCUGGCAGAAGGAAGCACAGCCUGCCUUCAUGGAGAUGACACAUGCUUGGGACUGAAGCAGUGAGGGGUAAAGUUCACUCUGCACAUCCCUUCACUGCCUGCACUGCUUCGUGCUCCAACCUAGUCAUGGCUGGCCCAGGGGAGUGGCUUGGGAGAACACAUCUGGGACCACAGGGCUGCACUGGUUGAUAUUAGCUCUGCUUGAGGCUGAGAGGUGGCAUCUGGUUUGGAUCUCCACGACUGCUGCUGUGCUCUGGCUGCAGAUUGAGAUAUGAGCUAGGAGAGCCCGAAGCUGCGCCCUGCCACAGCCUGGCUCAGCACAGCUCUGCAGGCGCAGGGUGGUCUGACACACUUUAUUACUGCUCUUUAUUAUCAGCCUCCACUAAUGAAUUCCACUAAUGCACACAACCCUGCAUGACAAAGCAGCCCUUGAUCUUCUUCCACACCCUUACUUCCAACCCCUGUAAGGCUUCCUGCUGUAGCUGAGGAGUUCCUCUUGGGACAGGCAGCACAGCUCAGCAGGUGCUAAGAAGUGUAUAAUCCUGAAGUGAGCUAACUGAGCCUGGGUGCUUCCUCUCCUGGGGUCUCACUGCUGGUUCUUGCACACAGAGGGAACCUUGGUUUUCACCAGGCCAGGAGCUAUCUUGCAUUUUGGUCUGGAGCUCAUUUAAAUCACAUCCUCUGGCAGUGGCUCCUGCUUUGUGAGGAAGUCCCAGGAGAUUCCUGGGUUGGGGCAAAGAGGGCAAUUGCUAUUUAAUGAAUGGAGCUGGGCAUAUCACCCAUGCUCCUGCAGCCAUCAUUCCUCAAACACAAAGGUUCUGCCCCCCUUCCUUCCCUAGGCACAGGAUCCUCAUGGAGCAGAGCUGUGAGCUUGUGUAACAAACUGACCCUGCAGGGAAGAGGAGAAGGAAGGAGAGGGCUCCUGCUGCCCUGGGCAUGGUGCAGGCAGCCCAGGGCAAAUAUCAUUAAGAGACAUCACUGUUUUUUCAUUCUGAGUGCUAAGCUAUAUAAACAGAAUAAAAUAUCAUGCAGAGGACUGCUUACAUAUUGCCUGUGACUUUUGUAUAUCUUAAUUUAAGAGUUUACAAAUUACAGUCCUUCUGCCUAGCCAGCAGCUACUGAGCUCCCAGAAGGAAGUUCUUUGGCCACUUCUGUCUGUACUGUCCAAAUGUCUGUAGAAGAAAUACCCUGGGAAGAGAACCUGUCACAUUGUCCAUCACCGCAUACAGUGGGCUCUUAGCUCUUGCUGUGCCUUUGGAGACCACUUUGUUCUCCUAUUCCUGUCCUUUAACUGGCUCUGUCUUUACUCAUUGGAGGCCUUGUACUUAGACAAGAUCCAAAUUUUGCAUAAUAAAAGGGCUCCCUAAUAGCUGGCAGUGCAUCCUGCUGCUCCCUGUCUCCUAUUGUUGAAAAUUAAACAGAUGUAAAAUUAGGAGCUGAAUUUCUCUGCAUCUGGGGGUCCUUGUGUAUAGCUGGAGAUGAGAGAUUAAGAUGUGACCUUUUCCCAGGAAAAGCAAUUAAAGAGUUCAAUAAAUUAUAAUCCUUAACAAACCUUUCUCCAAAGAAUUUUGCUUUAAAUGCUUUAAAUCCCACUGGUCAUGUACAUUUUUGCUUACAGCACACUCCAGUGAAAUCCCAGAUCCUUUACCAGGAAAUGCGUUUGAAUGCUCCAUCCCCACCUACUCUUUUGGACCCCUCAGGGAGACAAAUAAACAGAAGGGAAGGUUUACUGCAAGCAGAAAAGAAGUCAACAAUUUUCCUUCACUGCAGGAGGUUUCACACAACUCAGCAUCUGCAGGCCCUAGUGCUGGAUCACCCUGAGUAACUCAUGUUCCUGGGCAUGGUUUCCAGGCAGAACCAAGUCCUGGUCCAUACCAAUGCACACUAAUAUCUUCUUGGCAUGCACUACUCUAUCUCCUUACAACAGGCUUACAAUUGCUUGGCUUCAUCUUAGGGUGGGUAAUCACAUAAAAAUUGCUGUAGAAAGUGAGUUUAAUUUAUCUCCUGGCCUAGCAGCAGACCCUUUUUGGUGAAUGGUCAGAACUUGUGUUUAAAAGCUCACUGGAAAAAACAGUAUCCAUGGCUGAUUGAGCUCUCAGUGUUGGGAAACCUUGAGAUCUGUAAGUGGAGAAGGAGCCCCAUUAAUUCCUGUCUAGACUGGCUUCUGAGCCCAGGUUCCAGAGAUGAAAGGAUACUUUAUUAAGACAGGACAUAAAUCCACCCUGCCAACAAGUCCACACUCCUCUGGAUUAUUUACACCUCUCUCCCUCCCUCUGGUCAUUGCCUGUCCCUAUAUAAUCUACAUUAAAGUCCUGACAGGAUUAAACCAACAUGUCUUACACUUUAAAUAUCAGGUUCUGCGUGCUUUCAUUUCCACCAUGCCACAAAAAAAAGACUUCAUGUUUUUAUAGAUAGACUGAAAAUAAAAAAGUAGGUGUCCAAUGAAAGGAGCUUGAUGUUAUGACUGAGAGAUAAAAUGUGCGCUUGGGAGAUUUUAUUGUGAAUGUGGCCUGCACCUACAGCUCCUCUCCCUGGUGUGUCUGGCCCUGUGUGUCACUAAGGACCAGCCAGGGGCUGUAUGAACAGAGCCAUCUGGGCUCUGAGCAUCACCUUUUGGAUGAGGGGUGACUGCUUGCAGUCAGGCUACAGCCCCUGUCUUACAGGGACUAUCUUCCCUGGCAGUGCUGUGCUCAGUAGCCAGGGCUGGGGACUGAGGGGUUGCAGAGGGCAUGGGCAGUUUAGGGUGAAGGCUCUGAGGAGGACAGGCUUUUUUCAUUCAGAGAUUUUACAAACUUUCAUUGUUCGUGAGGCUUUGCUUUUUUAUUUUCUGACACUGGAAAGUUCCUAUAGUUGUCUGCGUGUUUUUUGGUGUUUGUGGAAGAGCUACGGCACUGUAUGAGAGUAGUAGGUCCUGUUGUCUCAUGUUUGCAUGAGCUUCUCCAC